CCUACGGGGGACAGCAGUGAGGAAUAUUGGUCAAUGGGCGGAAGCCUGAACCAGCCAAGUAGCGUGCAGGAUGACGGCCCUACGGGUUGUAAACUGCUUUUAUACGGGAAUAACGCGCCUUACGUGUAGUGCUUUGCAUGUACCGUAUGAAUAAGGACCGGCUAAUUCCGGGCCAGCAGCGGCGGUAAUACGGAGGGUCCGGGCGUUAUCCGGAUUUAUUGGGUUUAAAGGGAGCGUAGGCGGCAUGUCAAGCGUGCGGUGAAAUGUCCGGGCUAAACCCGGGCAUUGCAGCGCGAACUGGCGUGCUUGAGUCCGCGGAAAGCAGGCGGAAUUCGUGGUGUAGCGGUGAAAUGCUUAGAUAUGACGAAGAACCCCGAUUGCGAAGGCAGCUUGCUGCAGCGGAACUGACGCUGAUGCUCGAAAGCGCGGGUAUCGAACAGGAUUAGAUACCCCAGUAGUC
rnacentral:rRNA from 1 species